rnacentral:rRNA from 1 species
ACGAACGCUGGCGGCGUGCUUAACACAUGCAAGUCGAACGGAAAGGCCCUGCUUUUUUGGGGUGCUCGAUUGGCGAACGGGUGAUUAACACGUGAGUAACCUGCCCUUUACUUUGGGAUAACUUCUGGAAACUGGGGCUAAUACCGGAUAGGAGCUCCUUCUUCAUGGUGGGGGUUGGAAAGUUUCGGCGGUUGGGGAUGGACUGGCGGCUUAUCAGCUUGUUGUUGGGGUAGUGGCUUACCAAGGCUUUUACGGGUAGCCGGCCUGAGAGGGUGACCGGCCACAUUGGGACUGAGAUACGGCCCAGACUGCUACGGGAGGCAGCAGUGGGGAAUAUUGCACAAUGGGCGGAAGCAUGAUGAAGCAAAGCAGCGUGCGGGAUGACGGCCUUCGGGUUGUAAAAAGAUUUCGACUGUGACGAAGAGUGAGUGACGGUAAUGGGUAAAGAAGCACCGGCUAACUACGUG